GAAAGAUUUGUGGAUAAGAAUUUCUCUCUCCUAAAAUAAACUGCCAUUACAUUUUGCCAACUGCUGCACCUCCAUUCAGCCAUGGCUGGUAUCACCAGCACAACAACCAGCUCCUUCCCUUUCACCACUCCAACACCUAUAACAAUCAAUACGGCGCAGUUUAAUCUCUCAUCACUCGACUCAAAGCUCUUCGGACUCCGAUUUCGUUGCUCUACUAAUCUCUUUAAAUCACACUCUCUCGCUUCUCUCUCGCGCGCCUCCUCCACCUCUGUACUAGUCACUACUGCUCGUUUCGGAGGUGGCGGUAAUCGAUAUUCCGGUGACUCACGGCGGUCUAGGCAGAGCAUCCCUGAUGAAGACGAGGCUCUUGAUAUUUCCAGCAUUAGGUCAUCUACUGUGAGGCUUAUUGACGGGAAGCAAAAUAUGGUUGGAGUGGUACCUAAAAAUGAAGCAAUUCAAAUGGCUGAAGAUGCUGAACUUGAUUUGGUGAUACUGUCACCAGAUGCUGAUCCACCGGUUGUUAGAAUAAUGGAUUACACCAAGUAUAAAUAUGAACAGCAAAAGAAGAAGAAAGAACAGCAGAAGAAGAGUUCCGCAUCACGCAUGGAUCUGAAGGAGCUUAAGAUGGGGUACAACAUUGAUCAACAUGACUAUGAUGUGCGUAUGAGAGCUGCCAAAAAGUUUUUAAAAGACGGCGACAAGGUUAAAGUCAUGGUGAACCUGAAGGGUCGUGAAAAUGAGUUCAGAAAUAUUGCUAUUGAGCUUAUCAGGCGUUUCCAGAAUGAUGUCGGGGAGCUGGCAACCGAGGAGAGCAAAAACUUCAGAGAUAGGACUAUAUUUAUUACUUUGGUACCAAAUAAGGCUCUUCUACUGAAACCGCAGGAGCCACCGAAGAAAAGUGAUAAGCCAGCUGUAAAUGAAGUUUCAGCUGGUGUGUGAGUGAACUUGGAAGUUUCAUGAGGGGCUCCAACAAAGGAUAGUCGGCAAGUGCAGAAGGGUUCGCUAUAAUCAAUGUCAAGGGAACUUGCUUGUUGAUCUUAUAGAGGUGAGAAUAAGUGGCCUGUUGCUACCUGAUAUGAAAAGAUAGGGAAAAGGAAAAGGAUUUCCCAGCUGGUGAUGCCAACACAGUUUGGUACUUUUAUUAAUUGUUAUUUUAGGUUAUGAUAUAUUUUUGUUAUGUUGGGGAGUGUCCGAUAUCAUUUCUUUCAGAUUCGGACAAGUCUAGUUAGCUCACGAAUUAUUUGAAAUUGACUCUAAAUUAAUUAUUUGGUAAUCAAGUCGAGUCGAAUUUGAGCUGCUUUAGUCAACUGGCGAGAUGUUUAGUUUGAUAAGCUCUCGAGUAACUGAGUAAGUCUAAUUGAGUUUCGAUUACUUUUUCUUUUGACAACUAUAUAAAUUUAUAAUAAUAUUGUUAUACACUAAAGUUUAAUUUUUAAUUUUUUGGGUUGA